UGGGGAAUUUUGGACAAUGGGCGAAAGCCUGAUCCAGCAAUGCCGCGUGUGUGAAGAAGGCCUUCGGGUUGUAAAGCACUUUUGUCCGGAAAGAAAUCCUUGGCUCUAAUACAGUCGGGGGAUGACGGUACCGGAAGAAUAAGCACCGGCUAACUACGUGCCAGCAGCCGCGGUAAUACGUAGGGUGCAAGCGUUAAUCGGAAUUACUGGGCGUAAAAGCGUGCGCAGGCGGUUUGCUAAGGGCCGAUGUGAAAAUCCCCGGGCUCAAACCUGGGAACUGCAUUGGUGACUGGCAGGCUAGAGUAUGGCAGAGGGGGGUAGAAUUCCACGUGUAGCAGUGAAAAUGCGUAGAGAUGUGGAGGAAAUA
rnacentral:rRNA from 1 species